CACCUUUAUAAACGCUUCAUUCAGGCAGUGAGAGUUUAAAAUAAAAUUCCACUUUAAACCAUUUGGCAAAAUAUGUUUCAGUGUCUCUGCAUUGCAAAGUUCCCUAUUAAAAACACGUAGCCAAUGUAUGGACAUGUUUUAAAGGUGAAAAAGAAGUGGAGACAAGCCGAAUCUCAUCGCUAAAAUUAAGGUAUAUCACUACAUGGCUUUAUCUGCUUUUACUUACUCAUUUUCUUGAUACUCUGAAGUAAUAUGGUUGAAAGCAGAAUGAAAAAUUACUGUUGUAUUUUGGUUGUAACAUCGGAGUAGGAAGGAUGUCUUUGUGUGUUGCUACGUUUCCUGCACUUUGUUCACACCUAGGUUCAUUUUUAUUCUAUCACACACUACAGAAACAAUGCUAUGUUCUAUGGAUGUAAUAGAACAUUCCUAUCACCAUAGCUACUACAGCCUGUUGUAGUGAUGGUACCCACUAUAAUCUGUCAAUAAUGUUAGAACAGUUUGACCCUUAUCUGAAUCCCGACAGACACCCACACUCAUCUUCUCAAGCUGUAGAAGCUGGAUGUUUAAUUUAUGCAAGAAAACAAUUCAUUUAUUGGCUGAGAGCAUCAGCCAGGUUAUGGUGGGAGAGCGGAAGGGCACUCCAGGCACC